rnacentral:rRNA from 1 species
GACAGAGGGGUGCAAACGUUGUUUCGGAAUUACUGGGCGUAAAGCGUGUGUAGGCGGCUUUGCAAGUCGGAUGUGAAAGCCCCGGGCUCAACCCGGGAAGUGCACUCGAUACUGCGAGCUUGAGUGUCGGAGAGGGUUGGUGGAAUUCUCGGUGUAGAGGUGAAUUCGUAGAUAUCGGAGAGGAACACCGGUGGCGAAGGCGGCCAAGCUGGACGAACACUGACGGCUGAGAACACGAAAGGCGUGGGGAGCAAACAGG